AUGACAUUUACAAUAUUUGAUUGAUUUUUAGCAUGUAAACAAUGAGAGUCAUAUUAGCAUGGAACAUUUCCAAAGGGUUGAGGUUAGGGAGGGUCAGACCCUCCUAAAGUCUUUAUCCUCUUUUACAAAUGUUUCUGUUUGAUGACAUUAUUGUUCAUAAUCAGUCUUUUCUUGCAGUUGAUUGUAAUUUUUGUCACAAUAUUUUCAAAGAAAAACGUAUAAUAUACUUCAGACAAAAACAAACAAAAAAACAAUGACAAAUGUUUCAGAUGUUGCUCAGUAAUGAUAGUUUUAGAAAAAAAUUUCUGUGCCUCUUUCACAAUUUUAACUAACAAACACAUUUAGAUACAAGGAGUAUAAAUGCAGGAGAUGACUUUAGGAGGGUCUUCAGGAAAUGCUCCAUCCAAAUCACUUUUUCAUUGUUAUUAUUGUAAUUCUUGAAAUUACAUUUUCAACAACUAAUCUAUUUUGAACAUGUAAACAAUGAGAGUCAUCUUAGGAUGGAGCAUUUCCAAAGGGUUGAGGUUAGGGAGGGUCAGACCCUCCUAAAGUCUCUAUGGUCAUUUACAAAUGUUAUUACUAGAUUUCAUCAAUGUUAAUGAUGAUUCUUUCUGAUGUUUUAACAUCUAUAAAGAAAAAAAAUACAGAAAAAAUUGACAAAAUGGUGAGGAUUUCCUGUUAUGUUUCAUGUUUUGGGUUUGGUUUGGUUCGGUCCGUCUCUCGUUUUUCUCUUCUCUCUGGUUUCCUUUCAGUGUGAUCCUGAAGACGUGGCUCAUCUCCCUGCAGCUCAUUCCAGAUCAUCAGCUCCUCCAUAAAACCUGGACUUUUCUCUUCUCUGGUCCCAGAUUUUUCUGCGUGUUUGAUACUACCUGCUGCUACCUCAGUCCUCCAGAGCUCCAGUGUUUCCUGCGCUCGGCCUUCAGCUCUACCUCGAUCACUCCAGCCGUCCACCUCCCAAACCAGCCAGUCGUCAACCUCCACUUAACUUUUGUUCAA